AGGACGAACGCUGGCGGCGUGCCUAAUGCAUGCAAGUCGAGCGACGAAUAGGUGCGGGUAACCAAGCCUAUUACGUAGCGGCGAACGGGUGAGUAACACGUGAGCAACCUGCCCCGAAGACCGGGAUAGCCCAGGGAAACUUGGAUUAAUACCGGAUAUCCUCCUUUGACCACAUGGUCGUUGGAAGAAAUGCUUUUACGCUUCGGGAUGGGCUCGCGGCCUAUCAGCUUGUUGGUGGGUAACGGCCUACCAAGGCGUCGACGGGUAGCUGGUCUGAGAGGACGAUCAGCCACACUGGGACUGAGACACGGCCCAGACCUCCUACGGGAGGCAGCAGGUGGGAAUCUUGCGCAAUGGGGACGAAAGCCUGACGCAGCCAUGCCGCGUGAAUGAUGAAGGUCUUAGGAUUGUAAAGUUCUUCGCUCGUGACGAUGAUGACGGUAACGAGAGAAGAACGCCCGGCUAACGUCGUGCAGCAGCCGCGGUAAUCGUGA
rnacentral:rRNA from 1 species